UGUCCGCUUUCUGCAGAGUGAGUGAGCUUACAUGAAAUAUUCCACCAAAGCGUGGAUGGAUUUGAUUUGACAAGACGGUGUCCAGGUGUUAAGAUGGAGAGACAGAAAGGGAGCUGGUCCCAGAGCAGAAACAAUUGGUGAUGAGAUUUGGACUUCAGACAAGCCUAGAUUUGAACCUCACUUCUGCUACAUAUCAGCCAUCUGGCCAUCUGACUUCAUCUCUCUGAGCCCGUUCCCUCAUCUGAAAAACAAACAUUGAUGCCUAAGGGUGGUUAUGAGAAUUGAAUAAAAUAAAGUUUGUAAAGAACUUUGCAAAUAGCCCCGUUGCACAGAGAGUGACUAAAACAUAGUAGCUAUGGCACCCUGCUGACCUGCACACUUUCUUCCAGGUCUUCUCUCUUUCUUGGAAAGGAAGACUAUGUUUCUCAACCCCUUUCUGAUG
ensembl:lincRNA